AAUCAACGCUGGCGGCGUGCCUAACACAUGCAAGUCGAACGAGAAAGUGACUUCGGUCACUGGACAGUGGCGUCCGGGUGAGUAACACGUGGGUAAUCUACCUUCGGGUGGGGAAUAACGUCUCGAAAGAGACGCUAAUACCGCAUAAUGCAGCGGCACCUUAUGGUGAAUAGUUGUUAAAGCGGGGGAUCGCAAGACCUCGCGCCUGAAGAGGAGCCUGCGGCAGAUUAGCUAGUUGGUGAGGUAAUGGCUCACCAAGGCUGCGAUCUGUAGCUGGUCUGAGAGGACGGCCAGCCACACUGGCACUGACACACGGGCCAGACUCCUACGGGAGGCAGCAGUGGGGAAUUUUGGGCAAUGGGCGCAAGCCUGACCCAGCAACGCCGCGUGAGGGAGGAAAUCCUUCGGGAUGUAACCUCAUAAGUAAGGGAGAGUGCGAAGAUUGAAUACAUCUUCCGCUCGACGGUACUUUAUGUAAGCCACGG
rnacentral:rRNA from 1 species